UACCGAGGUCCCAAGCGUUUUUCGGAUUCACUGGGCGUAAAGCGUGCGCAGGCUGUUUUUUAAGCCAGAUGUGAAAUCCCCGGGCUUAACCUGGGAAUGGCAUUUGGGACUGCAAGGCCUGAGUGCGGCAGAGGAGACUGGAAUUCCCGGUGUAGCAGUGAAAUGCGUAGAUAUCGGGAGGAAUACCGAUGGCGAAGGCAGGUCUCUGGGCUGACACUGACGCUGAGGCGCGAAAGCUAGGGGAGCGAACGGG
rnacentral:rRNA from 1 species